AAUGCACAGAGUUGCAUUUUACUCACAGCCAGCUGUGUACUCUUCCAUUGCACUACUGGCGGGAAUCUUCCCUUUUCAGUUCAAGGCUGCUGUGAAUCACAAUGUAUAAACAUUCUUCUGCAUCAUCUCUUAGUGCCUAAGGAUGUAGGAGGAAGUGGAAAUGUGGAUUACUGUUUUAUGAGUUCCAUGCUGCAGAUUUCAUUUAGGAGCAGGGGCCCUUUGUCAGGUGCAUGUGCUGGGAAUGACUUUCCCAAGUCUUUGGCUUGGCUUUUCACUCUCUUGACAGUGUCUACUCAUUAACUGUAAAUUUUAAUGUAGUUCAAAUGUUGCCUGUGAGAAGUGUUUUGGGGGCCCCGUUUCAAAAAUUUUCCACAAUUACUCUGACUCUCUUAACACACCUGCUAGAAGUUUUAUUGUUUUCCCUUUUCACGUAUAGAAUGCAGUCACAUUACCUUUGUCAAGUGCAGAGCUCACGGUUGUACGUGCUACACCUUCCCAUGACUGUCAGGGCAGUGGUUUGUUUAUACAGCACCAUCACAAACACAAGAGCAACACAGUGGACUGUGACAUUAGAUGGCUGCAUCAUUAGGUAACAGGAAUAGGUCAAAGCAUUAUAGUCUUAUGGGGCCAGCAUCAUAUAUGCAGUCCAUCACUGACUGAAAUGCUGUGAGGUACAUGACUACUACCCUUGUCUUUCCUCUUGCAAAAUUACAGAAAAACACUGAAGCCUGGGAUGACACUAUCUUCCUUCAGAGAGUUUUUAUGUUGGCUUCUGUUGGUCACCAGUGGACACUAGCACCUGCAGAUAGCUGGGCACCAGGUCUCAGGUAACAAGGUGGUUUAGAACUGAGCUGCAGUCUCUGACGGAGUGAAGUACUUCUGGCAGUGGGGAGAAGAAAGAUCAAUCAUCUUUCACAGUGAACAGCAGGGCUGCUUUAUCAAAAGUGGAAAUAGAAGCAAGAAUGAACCAGGGAAAGGAACUGGUCAGCAGCAGCAGCCUAGCGGCAGCCCUGUAACUACCAGGUCAAGUCCCCAGGACCACGGGGUGGUUGUGACAGAGAAUGGAAGCAGGGAACAUGGGAGAGACUUUGCCUAGGACCUCAGUAAGGGUGUUCAAAGCCUGGGAAGGACAGUCCUUUGAUUAGCUGACCUAUUGCAGGUGGGCUCCUGUCCCAUGAAAGGGAAUCAAGUGGUCAGCAAGCUGGAAGUCCAGAGAAACAAAGUGGAUGUUUUGGUUAAAUGUCUUUGAGUAAUUCCAGCUAAAACACUCUGUGCUUUUAUGAAAACAGCAAGCCUGAUGAGGUCUGUUUUGCAUCCAAAAGAAGAUCCUCGGGCUUCUUCAAGAAAAGGAUUGAAUUGGAUACACCGAAUCAGCCUGCUGCAGACAGGCAGGUCUGUGCACGCCCUACCGAGGUCCUGAGUCGCACGGAAGAUGCCGAAUCACCCCACUGCAGACAGGCAGCCACCUGGUUCCACACUACAAAGACACAGAGGACACCAGACCACCAGACCAAGGUACUGAGUCCCGCUGCUUCCGGCCCAGAGGUAGGGGCUUCUGAGGCACUGUCUCACUGCUCCUGGUCCACAGGAAGGGGCUUCCCGGUCACCAUCCCUCCCGCUGCUCCCAGCCCAGAGGAAAGGGCUUUUGGGCCACCUUCUGUCCCGCUGCUCCUGGCCCAGAGGAAGGGGCUUCCAGGCCACCAUCCCUCCCACAGCUCCCGGCCCAGAGGUAGGGGCUUCUGAGCCGCCAUCCCACUGCUCCUGGUCCAGAGGAAGAGGCUUCCCGGCCACCAUCCCUUCCGCUGCUCCCAGCCCACAGGAAAGGGCUUUUGGGUCACCAUCCCCACCGCUGCACCUGGCCCCUGGCCCACCUCUCCCAGCUCAGAGGAGGUAAUCCGUGCAGGCUCUAACAGCCCCCCCGCCCCAGUUCUGCUUGCCAAUGGGCUCCUGUAGCAGUGUAUACUAGAAAAACAGAUGUAAUACAAGAUAUGCAAACACAUAAGGAUUUACAGAUUGGUGUAAAAUGGCCACCCACAGAGUCAGCCGUGGAAGCGUGCAAAAGGGCCCUUUGAGCACUGGGGAUCUGAAGGAUCCAGUCGAAAGCCUGGAGCUCCGUGUAGAGUCCUGUGCAAAUCCCUAUCAGGAGGCCGAAGGGUCUGCAAUGGAAGGCUAAGGAUCUGUGCUGGGAGCCAGAGGAUGACGUCCAAGGUGAAAGUGAAGACUGGGGCUCCUUCAAAGGAGACAGAAGCAAUCCUUCCUUCUUUUCCCUUGUAUGGCAUUCCUGCGAUAAUCCUUCCUAGGGUGUGUUUUCCCCACCCAGAACUAUGCUGAGCCAAUUUUGUUGAGUGUUUCUUACUGAAGUUGACACAAUCAACUAUCAUAACCCUGAAUGUUAUAUUACCAGUAUGGCAGACAGGAUGUGGCUAAUGGUAUAGUAGUGGUACUUAUGCUGAUUGAACCUUGUGCUCACUUCAAGGGAGAGGUCCCACAACUGGUACUGUAAUCCAGGACAAAAGCCUGUGGCUGGGGAAGUCAUAGGCCCCAGGAGCAAAGCCUCUGCUGCUGUUUUGUUAAAUGGGUAUGAUGUGUCAAUGAAACUGCCACCUAAACAUUUGUGUCUGCACCCACAUUACUGUCAUUGCUGGCCACAGCUGAGGGGGACCUCUUUUUGCAGUGGGCCGUGACCAUAGUGGCAACCCACAGUAAGUUCAGCUUUUGGGUAUAUAGUGAACUUCUCCUCUCCAGUCAAGCAGUCAUGCUCUGGAAUGUGCUGCCCUUUUCCCUUCAAACUAGAAUAACUUUUUGGGGACCCCAGAACCAAGAGGGGGGCCUUCCUUUAAGUAAUAUAAGUAAGAGAACAUGUAAAUGAAUCCUGGCCUGUGCACACUUAGUUGGAGACAUGGGCUCUUGAUUGAAGUUUGUGUUAUUCUAGGAGUGCACCUGCUGGUGCAGUCUGCACUGUGGCUGUGUCCUAACAAUCCAGUGCUCAACUCUCAGUCAAAGGAGAUAAUGUUGCCCAGUCAGGAAAAGGCUCAGGAAAUGGCAGGGAGGGGACAGAAAGAUUGUCAGACCUGAAGAAAGAGAUGAAGUGUAGUGAGAAUUGGCCUCUGAACUCCUGCUAAAGUAACUCAUCUUGUAGAGCACCCCGUCCCCUGGCAGGUGCCAAGGCUGGGUGCCAGACUGCACCAUAACAAGGGGCUCAUCACUGCUGGUAGAUAGAGCUUACUGAGACAGGCAGAGUUUCUUGAUAAGGAUGAAAUGGGGGGGUUACACACAGCGUUUCCCAAGGACACUUCUUGCUUUUCAUCCUGCUUUUGUCAUUUUCAUUAGUCCCCUAUAAAACCAGUACCCUACCACAGAGAGGUGGGCGACUUCAGUAGUGCUAUAGCCCACAAAUCAUCCACCAUCUGUGAAUAACCCCUAAUAAAUUCAUUUACCCAUUUAUUAUCCAGCCUGGACUGCUCUGAGUUGUUCUUUGGACUGUCAGUGCCUCCUUAAUUCAGCAGCAGAUUUUUUUAUGUCUCUCUGGGAAAUUUAUGCAACAGACAAUAAGCAAAAGCUGGUACAGUCUGUUUUGCACUGGUCAUUGCCUUAGGAGGGAAAAUCAGAUUAAGCAGGUUCAAAAUUGCCCCAAUAGGCAGAGAUAUUACAAUUUUAAAUAAGUACCUUUAUACUUAAAAAUUAGUCAAGAGGGAAGAUUUCUGUGGUAUGUAUUAUAUCACAAUUUUGAAAAUAAAGAAUGAGAAAGAAUAAAAGGAUUCCAAAAUGAGGGAGAGAGUGAUAGGCAUAGAAGGGUGUGACACUUGAGAAUAACACGUGAGGAUAAGCCAGCUGAGACUCCUCAGGGAAGAACAGGGAAAAGGGAUGGAAAUGCAAAGGUCCUGAGGAGGAGAAUGUCUGUAGAGUUCUGAAGCCCAGCAAGGAGAGGCGAAGGUAGUAGCUGCAUGAGCAAAGGGCAGAGUGGAGGAUAGUUGACCAGCUGUGUAAGGCUGCCUCAGCCUUUCUGGUGACUGCUUUUUACUCUGUGAUCAUAUGAAACUGACAACUAUGUAGAGCAGGCAUCUUAUUCAAGAUUUAUCCUCUCUUUGUGGAAGAUGACUCAGGAGAGUGGUUGCUAUAGAUUGAAUGUUUGUGUCCCCCUCACAUUUAUAUGCUGAAGCCUAACCUACCUCGUGGAUUAGGAGAUUGAGUCAUUGGUAAAUGAUUAGGCCGUGAGCUCCCAAGAAGGAGAUUAGUGCCCUUAUAAAACACAAGACAGAUCUAAAGAGUUCCUCUGCCCCCUUCUGCCCAAAGGGAGUUCUCAUGUAGUCAGGUAACAAUGAGCCCUAUGCAUGAGGCAUUUUCAGGGAGAUCGAGACAGGUCAGAGGGUGAGCAUCAUGCAGGGCUGGGGACUUCUGAGGUGCUGCUGUUGUGGCAAAGUGCCAGCCAGAAUAUACAGCUCUAGUGUUUACAUCUCAACACAGGUAGUCCAGGAGAAUAGAAGAUGCACCCAGAAGUUUCGGAAGCAAAGUGUACAGUUUUAUUUUUAUCGCCAGCGGGUCAGUCUGGGACUUUUCCACAAAGAGACUGAACAGCCCUUUGGCGCUGAGCAGGGUAGGUUAUACUCUGGGGAGGGGGCGGGCGUGCAGGAGUUAAACACUUUGCAUUGGUUACAUACAGCACAAGUCAUCUGGGCCCAGCAAAUUCAUCAGUUAUCAGGUAUUACAGAGAGCAAGCUCAGUGCACUGAGCCACAUCUCAUUUACAUUUUGUGAGGAG
ensembl:lncRNA